UACGUAGGGGGCAAGCGUUGUCCGGAAUCAUUGGGCGUAAAGAGCGUGUAGGCGGCCAGAUAAGUCCGCUGUGAAAUCUCGAGGCUCAACCUCGAGAGGUCAUCGGAAACCAUCUGGCUAGAGUCCGGAAGAGGAGAGUGGAAUUCCUGGUGUAGCGGUGAAAUGCGCAGAUAUCAGGAGGAACACCAAUGGCGAAGGCAGCUCGCUGGGACGUGACUGACGCUGAGACGCGAAAGCGUGGGGAGCAAACAGG
rnacentral:rRNA from 1 species